rnacentral:lncRNA from 1 species
UAAUUUGUAGUCCAAAGUUUCCUAUGGCCCAUAUGAAAAGUAAGUUGGGAAGAGUUAUCUCCUUCCUGGGGGUGAGUAGAAAUAUCGUGUGUGUGUGUAUGUGUGUGUGUGUGUGUGUGUUGUGUGUGUGUGUGUGUGUGUGUGUGAUAGAGAGAGGAAGAGGGAGGGAGAGAGAGAGAGAGAGAAGUGCAAAUGAGCAUGUGUGUUCCAGAGUGAGUGUGUAUUCAUUAAAAAAAAAAAGAAAAGAAAAGAAAAGGUAGAAACCCCUGGUCAGCUAACAUUCAGGAGAAAAGGAAAAUAAAAAGAAAAAAAAAGCUAACAACCCUGCCUAUCUCCAAAUUUGAGCCCCUCCCCUCAGCAUGUGAGCUGUAAAGAGAAUGACACAUGUGCUGUUUCCUUUCCCAGUUGUCGAAGGGUCAGGAACCAGACAAGAACAAGAGGAGACUUCUCCAGGAGACUCCUGCCUUUUUCUGAUCCUUCCAGCUGUUCUGCUCAAUCUCCCCAGCCCUCCCUGAGCCAGCCGAGACCAGUGGCCCAGGGCGCUCUGGAGUCUGUCAGUUAUGAGUGACCCAAACAGUACAACAGUGGAUGACGCAGGAGACACCAGUCCAGGGAAUGACAUCACCAUCAUUGCAGGUGAGCAAGCUCUCUGAGAACAGAAACUUUAACCUUGCUUUCGGAAUCCCUUCCCCAUAUCUACCUCCUAGACAGGACAAAAUUCCAGUUUUGGCUUUGGUAUUCCCUGUCCCAUUUACCCAUUCCACUUUUGAAAUUCUUCCCGUUACCCUUUCUGUGGGCCCUCUAAAUGAAUCUAGCUCCAGGGUUUCUGGACUUCCAGGAACUAUAGUCACUUUUAUCACCUUAUACCUUAGGCCAUGGGUAGAGAACCUGCAGCCUCGAGGCCACAUAUGGCCUUCUAGGUGCUUGGGUACAGCCUUUUGA